GAUUGCAGAGGCAAAGCUAGGCUAGGUCUUGGAGGCUGGUGUGAGGCGGUGCGGGUAAGGCAGGAGGCUGAUGGAAGACACUGUGGAAGAAAAGCCGAAAUGGAUUCUCCGUGCCUUGGAUGGAGGAAGAGGGGGAAGUGCGAGCUCCUUCAACUCCUUCGGUCCGGCGAGGAGUGAUCCAGCUUGGGCUGACAAGAGGCUCCGGGAGCCCUCACGUUCAGGGCUUUUUUACCUGCCAAUCAAACUGCUACAAGACAACACCCUGAUCUGGCAUGGACGUCGCGGGUCCAAGACUAGUCCCAAAUCGGAUAAUCUCUGCAGCUGGCUACACGCAAAAGAGAAGCCAGGCAACAGACAUAUUACAGAAGAAAGCUCUCGACUCCGAGAUCAAACUUAGAAAUUCUCAAGACCCAUUUAAAAGAAAAUGGCUGGUUCCUUUGGUUUGAGAGUGCAGACAUCCCUUGUAAACCUAAGAAUGGCCUCCUUUUCUGUUUGCUGCUCCUCCUGUUUUGUUAGCCCUGGACCCUAUGAGAAGCUUGCCAGGAGGUCCCGGAGCUGGAAGGACCAUGUGAGUUCAUCUCAGACAGUGGGUGGCACCACCACGUUAGUGACUCAUGCAGUGGUGAAGCUACUCUCUGGAAGAUCCUAGCAACUGUGUUUGGUAACACAGCUAGGUCCACUCAAGGUCAGCCGGAGGGGCAUCUGAAGCAUUUCCUUCUGAGGCUGUUCUGAGAAAAAGACAAGAAAAGAAAUGAUUCCUGAAUUAUACCCUCUUUCCUUUUAAAAUUGAGAUGAAUUAAUCCUAGCCAUAGAGAGGCUGAGGCAGGAGACUCUCAAGACUAAGGUCUUCCUGGGCCACACAGACAGCCGGCUGGGU